CUAGUUGGUAAGGUGAAGGUUUCCCAAGGGGGACGAUGGGUAGCCGACCUGAGAGGGUGACCGGCCCCACUGGGACUGAGACACGGCCCCAGAUUCCUACGGGAGGCAGCAGUAGGGAAUCUUCCGCAAUGGGCGAAAGCCUGACGGAGCAACGCCGCGUGAGCGAAGAAGGCCUUCGGGUUGUAAAGCUCAGUCACUCGGGAAGAGCGACCUAAGGAGUGGAAAGCCUUAGGGGAGACGGUACCGAGGGAGGAAGCCCCGGCAAACUACGUGCCAGCAGCCGCGGUAAUACGUAGGGGGCAAGCGUUGUCCGGAAUCACUGGGCGUAAAGCGUGCGUAGGCGGUUUUUUGGGUCUGGGGUGAAAGUUCAGGGCUCAACCUUGAGAAUGCCUUGGAAACUAGAAGACUUGAGUGCUGGAGAGGCAAGGGGAAUUCCACGUGUAGCGGUGAAAUGCGUAGAGAUGUGGAGGAAUACCAGUGGCGAAGGCGCCUUGCUGGACAGUGGCUGACGCUGAGGCACGAAAGCGUGGGGAGCAAACAGGAUUAGAUACCCUGGUAGUCCACGCCGUAAACGAUGAGUGCUAGGUGUUGGGGGGUCAUACUCUCAGUGCCGAAGGAAACCCAAUAAGCACUCCGCCUGGGGAGUACGGUCGCAAGACUGAAACUCAAAGGAAUUGACGGGGGCCCGCACAAGCAGUGGAGCAUGUGGUUUAAUUCGAAGCAACGCGAAGAACCUUACCAGGGCUUGACAUCCCUCUGACCGGUACAGAGAUGGACCUUCCCUUCGGGGCAGAGGAGACAGGUGGUGCAUGGUUGUCGUCAGCUCGUGUCGUGAGAUGUUGGGUUAAGUCCCGCAACGAGCGCAACCCUUGAUCUGUGUUACCAGCACGUGAUGGUGGGGACUCACAGGUGACUGCCGGCGUAAGUCGGAGGAAGGUGGGGAUGACGUCAAAUCAUCAUGCCCUUUAUGUCCUGGGCGACACACGUGCUACAAUGGGCGGUACAACGGGAAGCGAGACCGCGAGGUGGAGCGAAACCUAAAAGCCGUUCGUAGUUCGGAUUGCAGGCUGCAACUCGCCUGCAUGAAGCCGGAAUUGCUAGUAAUCGCGGAUCAGCAUGCCGCGGUGAAUCCGUUCCCGGGCCUUGUACACACCGCCC
rnacentral:rRNA from 1 species